AUUUCAGAGGGAAAAAAGAAUCCCCUCAGCCCCCCUUUUCUCUUGGCCGAACGGGCCACCAUUUACCCCGCCACAUGCGGUGGUCGGAGGCUCCAAACGGUCGAUUUUUAACCCCGUUUUAGGGACUGACUGAAGGCCGGGCUUCAGAGCCGUAGCGUCGAGGAGCAAAACCCCGAACGUCGCCUUCAUGGUCCGAUUUCGGUAGCCCGAAAUGGAACUCUGACGACGGCGCAAGCGGAGCGGUUCAGGUAACGGCGCAAGUGGGGGGUGGCCGACGUGACAUUGGCGGUGGCGGCGUGUUGUUGGCGGCGGUGGCAGAGAGAGCCAAAAGGUCAAAAGGCUAGGGGGAGGCAGCGCCUAGGGUUUCAGUUUCUGAAACCCUAGGCAGAUAUUUUUUGAAAUCGGGCCUGGGCUAAGUGGGCUUCGGGUCUGGGUUAGAUUAAUUAUAAUUGGGCUGGUAGCUGGGUUAGGUUUAGGUGGGCUUUGGGUAUUUAUUGGGUUAGUGUUGGGUUUGGUUAUUGGGUAAUGGGCCUCGGGCAAAAUUUGGGCUGUACAUAUACUAUAGAAAAAUGUGUAUUUUGAAUUGUAAAAUAUGGGAAACAUGUGUGUAUUCUAAAAUGUGUAUGCAUACAUAUAUACGUUUGUAAAAAAAUUAUGAAUAAUAUAAAAAAUAUAUAAAA